UACAGAGGUCCCAAGCGUUGUUCGGAUUCACUGGGCGUAAAGGGUGCGUAGGUGGUCGGGUAAGUCUGAUGUGAAAUCUCUGGGCUCAACCCAGAAAUGGCAUUGGAUACUAUUCGGCUCGAGGAGUGGAGGGGGGACUGGAAUACUUGGUGUAGCAGUGAAAUGCGCAGAUAUCAGGAGGAACACCGGUGGCGAAGGCGGGUCUCUGGGCCGUAACUGACGCUGAGGAGCGAAAGCGUGGGGAGCGAACAGG
rnacentral:rRNA from 1 species